UACGUAGGGUGCGAGCGUUGUCCGAAUUAUUGGGCGUAAAGAGCUUGUAGGCGGUUUGUCGCGUCUGGCUGUGAAAUCUCAAGGCUCAACCUUGAGCUUGCAGUGGGGUACGGGCAGACUAGAGUGUGGUAGGGGAGCUGGAAUUCCUGGUGUAGCGGUGAAAUGCGCAGAUAUCAGGAGGAACACCGAUGGCGAAGGCAGGUCUCUGGG
rnacentral:rRNA from 1 species